AUGUCUUAUCAUCUCCAGUUUAGCUUUUCUAUCUGUUUUGUCAAUCAUAUACAUGACAUUCCUUUAUUCAUCCACACUUGCAUCAUGCAUGCACAUUUGUAUUUGCUGAUGUUAUUGGGUUCAUAUACCUUGGUUAUGUCUAUUCAAAUAGCGUAUUUUCUCUUUCCAAAUAGAGUGUCAACUUAA